rnacentral:hammerhead_ribozyme from 1 species
AUCCAGCUGACGAAUCAUAAGUAGGACGAAACGUGCGUCCUGGAU